rnacentral:rRNA from 1 species
GUCUUUUUGUAUUUAUAAAAAGUCUCGCCUGCCCACUGAAAUUUAAAUGGCCGCAGUAUUUUGACUGUGCUAAGGUAGCAUAAUCAUUAGUUUUUUAAUUGAAAGCUAGAAUGAAGGGUUGGAUGAAAAAAUAACUGUCUCUAUUUAAUUAUAAAGAAUUUUAUUUUUAAGUUAAAAAGCUUAAAUUUUAUUGAAAGACCAGAAGACCCUAUAGAGUUUUAUUUAUCAAUUUUAAUUUAAUUUUAGAAUUUAUAUUAAUUUUUUAAAGAUAAAUUUAAUUGGGGUGAUUAAAAAAUUUAUUUAACUUUUUUUUUAUUGCUAUAUAAAUUAGUAGUUUUUUGAUCCAAUAUUUUUGAUUAUAAGAUUAAAUUACCUUAGGGAUAACAGCGUAAUUUUACUGGAGAGUUCAAAUUUAUAGUAAAGAUUGCGACCUCGAUGUUGGAUUAAAAUUUAUAAUUGGUGUAGAAGCUAUAUUAUUAAGUCUGUUCGACU